UACAGAGGGGGCAAGCGUUGUCCGGAUUUAUUGGGCGUAAAGAGCGUGUAGGCGGCUUUACAGGUCCGUUGUGAAAACUCGAGGCUCAACCUCGAGACGCCGGUGGAAACCGUAAAGCUAGAGUCCGGAAGAGGAGAGUGGAAUUCCUGGUGUAGCGGUGAAAUGCGCAGAUAUCAGGAGGAACACCGGUGGCGAAGGCGGCUAUCUGGACAGAAACUGACGCUGAGGCGCGAAAGCUAGGGGAGCAAACAGG
rnacentral:rRNA from 1 species